UACAGAGGUCUCAAGCGUUGUUCGGAAUCACUGGGCGUAAAGGGUGCGUAGGCCGCACAGUAAGUCAGAGGUGAAAUCCCGGAGCUCAACUUCGGAAUUGCCUCCGAUACUGCCGUGCUUGAGGACUGGAGAGGAGUCUGGAAUUCACAGUGGAGCAGUGAAAUGCGUAGAUAUUGUGAGGAACACUAGUGGCGAAGGCGAGACUCUGGACAGUUCCUGACGCUGAGGCACGAAGGCCAGGGGAGCAAACGGG
rnacentral:rRNA from 1 species